AACGAACGCUGGCGGCAGGCCUAACACAUGCAAGUCGAACGCCCCGCAAGGGGAGUGGCAGACGGGUGAGUAACGCGUGGGAACGUGCCCUUCGGUUCGGAAUAACCCAGGGAAACUUGGGCUAAUACCGGAUACGUCCGUAAGGAGAAAGAUUUAUCGCCGAAGGAUCGGCCCGCGUCGGAUUAGCUAGUUGGUGGGGUAAUGGCCCACCAAGGCGACGAUCAGUAGCUGGUCUGAGAGGAUGAUCAGCCACACUGGGACUGAGACACGGCCCAGACUCCUACGGGGGGCAGCAGUGGGGAAUAUUGGACAAGGGGCGAAAGCCUGAUCCAGCCAUGCCGCGUGAGUGAAGAAGGCCUUAGGGUUGUAAAGCUCUUUCAGCGGGGAAGAUAAUGACAGUACCCGCAGAAGAAGCCCCGGCUAACUUCGUGCCAGCCGCCGCCGUAAAAC
rnacentral:rRNA from 1 species